rnacentral:rRNA from 1 species
AACGAACGCUGGCGGCAUGCCUAACACAUGCAAGUCGAACGAGACCUUCGGGUCUAGUGGCGCACGGGUGCGUAACGCGUGGGAACCUGCCCUUAGGUUCGGAAUAACUCCCCGAAAGGGGUGCUAAUACCGGAUAAUGUCUUCGGACCAAAGAUUUAUCGCCUUUGGAUGGGCCCGCGUUGGAUUAGCUAGUUGGUAGGGUAAAAGCCUACCAAGGCGACGAUCCAUAGCUGGUCUGAGAGGAUGAUCAGCCACACUGGGACUGAGACCCGGCCCAGACCCCCGAGGGGGGGCAGAGGGGGAGAUAUUGAAAAAGGGGCAAAAUCCUGGCCCGGCAUGACCGGGGAAGUGAGAAAGGCCUGAGGGUUGUAAAGCUCUUUUCCCGGGAAUGGUAAUGACCGUACCGGGAGGAAGAGCCCCGGCAAACCCCGU